rnacentral:rRNA from 1 species
AUUGAACGCUGGCGGCAGGCCUAACACAUGCAAGUCGAGCGGAUGAAGGGAGCUUGCUCCUGGAUUCAGCGGCGGACGGGUGAGUAAUGCCUAGGAAUCUGCCUGGUAGUGGGGGAUAACGUCCGGAAACGGGCGCUAAUACCGCAUACGGCCUGAGGGAGAAAGUGGGGGAUCUUCGGACCUCACGCUGUCAGAUGAGCCUAGGUCGGAUUAGCUAGUUGGUGGGGUAAAGGCCUACCAAGGCGACGAUCCGUAACUGGUCUGAGAGGAUGAUCAGUCACACUGGAACUGAGACACGGUCCAGACUCCUACGGGAGGCAGCAGUGGGGAAUAUUGGACAAUGGGCGAAAGCCUGAUCCAGCCAUGCCGCGUGUGUGAAGAAGGUCUUCGGAUUGUAAAGCACUUUAAGUUGGGAGGAAGGGCAGUAAGUUAAUACCUUGCUGUUUUGACGUUACCAACAGAAUAAGCACCGGCUAACUUCGUG